rnacentral:lncRNA from 10 species
AAAGAUGAUGUUAAUAAAGAACAAACAGGAUUCCACUGAUUAAAUUAGGACAUGUGCACAUUCUGUGCCCCAAACAGGAGUAUGAGUGUGUCACUUUCUAUAUAGGAAAAUGAGUGCAGAGAAUGGACAGCAGAGGGAGCCCUUGAUGAGUUUUGACCAUCAAGAGAUGCCAAAAUGGAACCAAAUCUCCAUGAACUCUGCUAAUGGAAGACGAGGAAAAGGCAGGUAACCUAAGCAAACCCAAAUGGACCAAAUGCAACGCUGAUGGAAUCUAAGUGCUCAGACCAAGGAACGGGGACUGAAAUAACAGUGGACACCACAUGGCAUGAUCCAAUCAGAUUGAGCCCUGGAAAGAUCAUCCCAUGGCAAGAUCCAGUUAGAUUACACUUCCUGGCAUCACCUCAUUGCAAGAUCCAAGAUCAUGCCUCAUUACCUUCUGCCUGUAAAACCUGCCCCAGCCCCCAGCUCCAGGAGACAGAUUUGAGCCAGGCUCCUGUCUUUCUCUGCAGCCUUGCAA